ACGCCCGCUCAAGAACUACAAAGGAAUUGACGGGGGCCCGCACAAGCGGUGGAGUAUGUGGUUUAAUUCGAUGCAACGCGAAGAACCUUACCUGGUCUUGACAUCCCGGAGACCCUUAGGAAACUAGGGGGUGCUUCCAUCUGGAAGAAUCUGGAGACAGGUGCUGCAUGGCUGUCGUCAGCUCGUGUCGUGAGAUGUUGGGUUAAGUCCCGCAACGAGCGCAACCCUUGCCUUUAGUUGCCAGCAGUUCGGCUGGGCACUCUAAAGGGACUGCCGGUGUUAAACCGGAGGAAGGUGGGGAUGACGUCAAGUCCUCAUGGCCUUUAUGACCAGGGCUACACACGUACUACAAUGGCCGAUACAAAGGGCAGCGACACUGCGAGGUGAAGCCAAUCCCGUAAAAUCGGUCUCAGUCCGGAUUGGAGUCUGCAACUCGACUCCAUGAAGUUGGAAUCGCUAGUAACCGCAGAUCAGCUACGUUGCGGUGAAUACGUUCCCGGGCCUU
rnacentral:rRNA from 1 species